UCUUGAUUCAAUGAUUCAAGAAAAAAAUCAACUCCAGGUUAAAUGAGUAAUCCGAUAAAUCUACAAGAUACCAAUUUCCUUAACUCCAAUUAAAGAAUUAACCUUCCCUCUAAUUAUCUAUAAAUUAAAAGCACAGACAACACCAACGUAUCCAAAACCCACAUCCACCAGUCACCAGAAGUGGCAGCCCUGCUUACAACCGUUGCAAACAUCGUCGGUCACAACAGCAGCGCUGCCUUCAGCCCCUACGAAAACCUCCUCCUCCAUCGCAACAUAACCCAAUUAUAUAUUUGACAAACCCAUGUACCCCACCAUGCAGUGAACAACCACCGUCUCCAAUAUGUCAAGACACGCCAACAAACACCAUCCUUACAUCUCAAUGAUGAGAAAGAAAGAAGCGGAUCCCAUGACGUCGAUAAAGAAAUAGAAAAGAGAGAAAAAGAAACGGAUCCCUUGGCAAUAGUAAAUAUAUAGAAAAAAGAGGGAGAGGCAAUAGUGAGAGAGGAGAAGUGAGAUGAAGGAGCCGGUGAUAAUGGUCACGGAUUGGAAAGAGGAGGCAGAGAUGGGGGG
rnacentral:lncRNA from 1 species